UACGUAGGGUGCAAGCGUUAAUCGGAAUUACUGGGCGUAAAGCGUGCGCAGGCGGUUGUGCAAGACAGAUGUGAAAUCCCCGGGCUCAACCUGGGAACUGCAUUUGUGACUGCACGGCUGGAGUGCGGCAGAGGGGGAUGGAAUUCCGCGUGUAGCAGUGAAAUGCGUAGAUAUGCGGAGGAACACCGAUGGCGAAGGCGGCAUCCUGGACCGGCAUUGACGCUGAGGAGCGAAAGCCAGGGGAGCAAACGGG
rnacentral:rRNA from 1 species